rnacentral:rRNA from 1 species
UAGGGAAUAUUGGUAAUCUGCGAAAGCGGGAACCAGCAACGCCGCGUGUGCGAUGAAGGCCUUCGGGUCGUAAAGCACUUUUUGGAGGGAUGAGGAAGGACAGUACCUUCAGAAUAAGUCUCGGCUAACUACGUGCCAGCAGCCGCGGUAAGACGUAGGAGGCAAGCGUUAUCCGGAUUUACUGGGCGUAAAGCGCGUGCAGGCGGUUUGGUAAGUUGGAUGUGAAAGCUCCUGGCUUAACUAGGAGAGGUCGUUCAAUACUGCCAGACUUGAGGAUGGUAGAGGGAGGUGGAAUUCCGGGUGUAGUGGUGAAAUGCGUAGAUAUCCGGAGGAACACCAGUGGCGAAAGCGGCCUCCUGGACCAUUUCUGACGCUCAGACGCGAAAGCUAGGGUAGCAAACGGG